GUUAGCGGUUUCGAAAAGCGCUUCUGUCCACUGCGUUCGCUGAGGCUUAUCUUUCUAGUCACAUCGCGAAAGCCUGGCGAUUGGUCGAAAACCGUUCAGCGCGGUUGAUUAUUCGAUUUUAAACUCGGCGCCGAUGCAUUACGGGUAUUUCGCGCAUGCUCUUUCCCCCCUUUUUGUACCCAAAUUCCAAUUUCCAAACGGUAGGUAUCGGCAGGAAUUUACCGACGCGCUGCGCGCGCUGUUUUCCAACCCCAACCCUCGCGACUUAGGAAUGAGCCAUUGACUCAUGCCUGAUAGCGCCGAAUGAGUGUCCCUCGACACCUAAUGUUCCUGACUCAGAGGGAAAUUACCGCAUCCUAAGGAAGAAGUAAGCUAACGUUUUGCGUUUCGAGUUCUGCCGCAAACUGCGACCAAAACAGAAUAACUCGUACAUGAACGAGGCGCAAAAAAAAACAGGAAACGGAAACCGCUGCUGGAAGGAAAACCAGCGGCUGGUGGGUACGAAGAAAACCGUACGUGGAUCAAGCCCCAGAUAUUUGAGUCGAAAUUCAACCGCUCUGUAAAUCG